GGCGGAAGGCUUCCUCCUGAGCCAGGCGGAGGAGCAGAAGGAGCAGCUCCAGUGGCAGUGCUACACUGUGGAGAUCAGAGAUCCUGAGGGAAAGAAGAACCCACCAAAUCCCCCUCAGGAGCUAUUUUUCCGGAGGAGCCCUUGGGAAGACCAAAAUCAGGACACCUCAGGAGAGGAGCAAAGAAUGAAGCUUUCUGGUUUUUAUGAUGGAGAUCAAACAGCGAUUGAACCUCCAAACCAAG